rnacentral:rRNA from 1 species
UACGUAGGGUGCGAGCGUUAAUCGGAAUUACUGGGCGUAAAGCGUGCGCAGGCGGUUCUGUAAGUCAGAUGUGAAAGCCCCGGGCUCAACCUGGGAACUGCGUUUGAAACUACAGGACUAGAGUAUGGCAGAGGGGGGUAGAAUUCCACGUGUAGCAGUGAAAUGCGUAGAGAUGUGGAGGAAUACCAAUGGCGAAGGCAGCCCCCUGGGUCAAUACUGACGCUCAUGCACGAAAGCGUGGGGAGCAAAC